rnacentral:tRNA from 3 species
GGCUUAGCUCAGUUGGUAGAGCAGCGCACUUGUAAUGCGAAGGUCGAGGGUUCAACUCCUUUAGCCGG